rnacentral:lncRNA from 1 species
CUCACUACCGAAACUCACCGAAGGAAACAGACGCCAGUGCUCCUCCCGGGGCUGCCACCACGGCUCCGGCAGGCGGGCCGGGGACCGGCCGAACCUGAGUUGACGGUGGAGGGGCUCGGGUUAGCUAGAUGGGCGGUUGGUUAGAUGCGUAAGCGGUAGUAUGCGAGCUCAGUUCGUUGUUGCUGGUUGGCUGUCUAGUCGGCCGAUCCGUCUGCUCACCCGGCCUGCCCUUUCCUGCCUUUCGUCUGCAGCGGCCGCCAGCUCCUGCUCGGUGUCCAAAACAAAAUGGCCGCCACGUCCAGUGCUUGUCUGACCGGCUAAAAUGGCGUCUACGCAAUUACGUCAGGCGUCAGAUCCGCGCACGACUAGAGGGCGGGAAAGAUUUGAGCUACGCCUGCGCAGAGUUGAGAAGCUGAUGUCUCCUCGACUUCCAACUGGAACCUUGAACCCCCACAUUUCUGGACCUUGAGCAUUCCUCAAGUAGGAAGAUGUAAUGCACCUUGACCUCUUUCUAAAUAAGACACUUCCCCAAAUAAGGGGAGUUGAGAGUGAACAGUCUUCACGUCUCCACCCACUUCCAGAUCCCAGAGGAGACAGACAUCGGAUGGCUGAUAAUCUUCCAAUGGAAAUCCAUGGUUCAAGUGCCACCUCUUCAGGAAAGCCAUCUGACUUCAAUCAGGCAGCAGUGGAUGGUGCAGGGGAAAGAGGUGGGAAGGAGGUCCUGGGAGGGACACUGGAUGUCUUACCCCAAGCUGGGCCUUGCAGUACCUGUGGCUGGCUGUGCUGGUUGAGCCCGAAUCGACCACGGAAAUUUGACACCUCCGGGCUUGGAAGCAGCUCUCUCCUCCUUCCCCGCUGCUUAUAAACCUCAGCCCUGAGGCUCCAGC